rnacentral:lncRNA from 1 species
CAGUCUUUUUGAACAAUUCAUUUCCCAAAAGUACAUAACUCAAAGCUCUGUAUUUUAUCUUUCUUUCUACUUUCUGAUUUGGGUCUUGUAGAUAAUCCUUGAUAGGCUUUCUCCAGUCCGAAAUUCUUGAACCAUCUAUGUUGAAUAUUUCAAAGUUUUCUUCGUCACCGUAUCCUAAUCUUAUUGACUCUAGAUCUGAUGGGGACAACUUGGUG